AGCCUUUGACAAGAGCUUCAGGAAUGAGAUCAAGUUUCUAACAGAAAUACGACAUCGAAGCAUCGUAAAGCUUCAUGGGUUUUGUCUACACCGACGGUCCAUGUUUUUGAUCUAUGAGUACAUGGAAAAAGGGAGUUUGUUCUGCAACCUAAGAGAUAAAGUGGAAGCUGUGGAAAUGGAUUGGACAAAAAGAGUGGAGAUCAUCAAGGGCAUAGCGCAUGCUUUGUCUUACUUGCACUAUGAUUGCAGCCCUCCAAUAGUUCAUCGAGACAUAUCAAGUAACAAUGUUCUUUUAAACUCGAGCUUUGAGGCAUUUGUAGCUGACUUUGGGACUGCUAAAAUGUUGGAUCUUGAAUCAUCCAAUCAGACCAUUAUUGUGGGCACAUGUGGUUAUGUAGCUCCAGGUGAUUUUCUCUGCUUCGUUUGAUGACAUUUUCUUCGGAAUUUAUAAAAUUAAUUGAACAUAUAAAUGAUAUUCUUUUUUAUCUGGUUUUUCGUAUGCAGAACUUGCAUAUACCUUGACUGUCAACGAAAAAUGUGAUGUCUAUAGUUUUGGAGUGGUGGCACUGGAAACGUUAAUGGGAAAGCAUCCUGAAGAAUUGUUAUCAUGGUUGUCACCACCAACUUCUUUGAUGAAUAUGAGGCUGAUUGAUGUGCUAGACAACCGUUUACCACUUCCGACAAGUCAAUUAGUUGCACAAAAUCUUGUUCGCAUUGCUACUUUGGCAUUCGCCUGCCUAAAUCCGCAACCUAAGUCUCGACCAACGAUGAAAGAAGUGUGCGAAGAGUUUCUUUGUGGCCAAACAUCCUUGGGAGUUCCCCUUCGGAUGAUCUCUUUGUUACAACUUGUGAACUGUGAAAUGCAUAUUGGAGGCAAAACUGGAACUUGCAAUGUUUAAACUCCAUGUGGUUGUUGUUGAUUAGAUAUUGUUUAUCAUGCUUUGAUGAUUUGUUUGUAAACCAUAUCCUGUGUUAUAUAUGGUGGAAUGAAUUGCAAUGUUCAACAAAUUUGUUUAUUUGAUUGUUUUACAUAACAUAAAUUCGACAAUUUGAUAUCCAAAUAUUCAAACACCGUCCUGAUAGCUUCCUUCAAUUUCGCGCUUCUUUCAAGCAUGAAAGACCAACUCAAAGGAUAAAUAAAAUAUAAGUAAAUUAAUGGUGAAUUAAAGCAACAAAAUGCAAUCAAUACAUACAUUAAGAAUUCACCUGAACUAACUAUAAUUCAUUAAACGAUCUCUCCACUUAUGUAAUGGAAGUGAGAUUACACAGAUCUGGGCUACGUAACAUCCAAACUUAAAAUGCAACAAAAGGGGUCAAAAUGGAGCCAGCACAAAUUCCAACAUUUUUUUUCCAUAUCAAGCACAUUAGGAUUUAUUGCUUGGUAGAGUUAAAAAUUGAAAUGAAAGAAAAUAAACAUUUAAAAAUGCAUAAUUUUGAACUAGCAUACACCUCUCUCAUAUCCUUUCUUUCCAUCAUUCCAAUUUGGAAGUAUCGGUUUUAAUACAUUAGGAUAAAAAAAUGGUUCUUUCCUCCCACUUUUCUUCCAUAUCAAGCACAUUCAAAUUAAAAUAUUUAUUUAAUUUUUAUACAUCCUAAAAUGUACCAAUAGAAUUAGAACAUUAAUAUACAUAUCAAUUUAAAAAAAUUAAUAAAAAAAUUAAUUUUUAAUAUUUUUAAGCUUCAUAUAAUUAAGAAAAAAAAUUGUCUUGAAUGAAUCUAGACAUAGACUUAACUUGUAAAUGGUUUUUAUUAAUUUUUAAUUUUUUGAAAUUUAUUUAAUAACUUUAUAAUUUUGAAUUUUUUUUACAAAUUUAUAAAAUUUUAAAAAAUUAAUUUUUUUUAAAUUUUUUUAAUUUAAAAAAGUUUUAAGCUUCGAAACGAAUGAUCUUGGUACUGCAACAUCAGCAACUAUUCCUUUUAAAAAUUAAAUAUUCCUUUUAAUUUUUAUUUUUUUGACAUGACAGUUGAAAUGAUACCGGCACAUCAACAACUAUCACUAACAUGAAGCACCAUGUUAGCGUCGUUAAUGGUUACGUCAAUAUUGUAACGGUCAACAUUAGUUAAAGGGCCUAUUUGGUCAAUUUUGUUAGUUAAGUGGCUCAAUUGGGUGCAAAAAUUUCGUAGGGGUUUAAUUAAUUUUUUUGAAAGAGUUUGAGGACCAAAAAUACCAUUAAGCCCUUCUUUAACUAUUGAUAUAUCCUUUUCUAUGUAUCGGUAAACAUUAGUCAAAGGGCCUAUUUGACCAAUUUAUUAGUUCAGUGGCUCAAUUGGGUGUAAAAAGUUCACAGUGACUUAAUUGAUUUUUUUUUAAAAGUUUGCUGAGCAAAAAUACCAUUAAGCCCUUCUUUAACUAUUGAUAUGUCUUUUUUAAUUAAUUUUACAUUAGCGCGUAGUACAGGCACACAAUGUAUGGGGUGUUUCCAUGUAUACAUGUAGAGUGUAUUUUGAUACCACAAACGAAUUAGAUGAAAAUGUGAUUAUUAAGGUUGUAAUAUCACUUUCUAGUAAUUACAAAGAGUUAUAAGUUUUUAGAUGCAUUUGACUGAUAGAGUAUAAUUAUAUUGUAAUUUUUUUUAUCUUAUUUAGUAUAGUAUAAAUUGUAAUUACACAUUUACAAAUUUUAAAUUUUUUAAAAGGUAUUAAUUACUAUAAAUAGUUAUCAAUAAUGCUUGAGAAAAAAAAUUCUAAACAAGUAACAUAAAUUAAAAUCAAAUCAUUUUAUCUUAGUCUAAGAAAGUAACCGACAACACGAUUACCAAUAAAAAAGUACAAGAAAAAUAAACAUUUUAUUAUUGCUCUAGCAUUCCAUGUUUGUCGGGUUAUUCCUUUUCUGACAUUUAACAUAUACUUCUUAUAAUCAUCUAUUAGUCCUUGACCAAUUUCUUCAUUGUUGAUAGAAGGUACAACAAUGGAGAGGAGUAAGGAGGAGGUAAGGUGGAGUGAGUGGUGGUUUUGUGGAGGCUGGUUCACUUAAAGAGGCGAAGAGUUGGAAAGGAACAAGAGGAUAGGCUGAUUGUUGAAAGAUGAGAUGGUUGCUAAGAGUAACUUUAAGGGUUGGAAAAUCAAUCCCUUCUUCAUCGUUGAAAGGUAUUUAUAAGAGAAGUCCUCUUGUCCAUUUGUGUGACAUGGCAGGAUAAGUACUCAGUCCCGCCAAGUGUGUAAAGGAUAUUCAUGAACGUGAAUGAUAUUUUGAAUCACGCUUCAAAUACAGCUCUAACAAAUAUUUAUGAAAAAUGGGUCUCAAGCCUAUGUGGCCGGGCGUGUCGUGUCGACAGUUCACUUAUAAUAUGUUUAAUAGUAAACCAACUUUAUAACAUUUUUAUAAUAUUUCGAUAACUAUUAUUUCAUGCAAAUUAGAUAAAAGAUAAUAUAAAUUUUAUAAUAUAACAUUUAUCAACAAUGCUUUUAUAAAGUGUUGAAUAACUUUUAUGACGCAUAUAUGAAAGCGCUCAAAUACGUGGCCAUACAAGAAUAGUAUAAACAUUAUAAUACAUGCUUUAUAAGCAUAAUUUGCUAGGUCAAAAUUUGAACGAAAUAUUUGGACUUGUGUGUCUAAUAGCAAAGCAAUUUUGACCCAAUAAGAAAUAUAUAAUUAUAUUUUAAAAAAUAUAAAAUAUAUGUCCUAAAAUUAAAAUAUUUUCUUAUUAUUGUAUUAAAAUAAUUUUUAUAAAUUUGUAUAAAAAUAAUAUCUUAAAUCAUGUACGUUUGUUUGAAAAAUUUUAAGGUAAUUAGUAAUUGAUUGUAAUUACUCUAACUCUCAACCCCUAAGAAUUAUAAUUGAGGUGCUAUAAUUACUUUCAAUUUAGUGGAUCCAUCAACUAUAAUGGUUAAUCAAACAUGUUAUACCUUUAUAAUCGCAAAUAAUUACACUCAAUUUUAAUAAUUACUAGGUGACUUUUAAAACAUCACACUAACAAAUUUCUAAUGUCUUGUGGAGAACUUCUUUGCCUUUUUUUUUUUUUUUAUGAUUGUGAACAAAAUUUUGGUUUAACUACGAAGGAAGAUUUUUCAAAAUCAUAUAUACUUUGGGGUACAAGUUAAACUGAUUUUUUUUUUCAAAACAAUUGCAAAGAAAAUUCAUGAAAUUAAGUUGUCUUCAAAUAAUUAAUUCACAUUGGAAUUUUCAAAUAAGAUGUCACAUUAAUAAUAUUUCAAUCAUUAAAAUAUUGUAUAACACAUUUUGCCUUAUACAAGAAACUAUGAAAAUACUAAAACUUAAUCCAGUUUAAUCUGCUCAAGGAAAUGACUUUAACACUGAGCUAAUUCAAUUAAUCCACUUAAAUUAAUUAUAUUGUAGUAAGAUUUUAAUGUGACAUGUUUAAUUUUUUUUUAAUUCAAGUAAUUUUACUUGAUUCAACUUGACUCAAAUUUCAUUUCACUCAUUCAAUUUAAAAAAAAAUUCAAAUUAAAUUAAAAUAAUAAAAUAAGACUCGAUUCGAUCCAAUGAUCAGCCUUAACUUUUACAUAAUUGAUACUAACAACAACAUGAAAAUAGAUACUCACCUUUUCUAAUCACUAUGCAGGAGCGAAAUUUCCAUGAAAAAAAAAGUAUUGCGUAUGGAAAAGUAAGUUCCAUGACAUCGACUGAAGCAAGGACAACAACUGAAUUUAUAUAUAUAUAUAUAUAUUUUGUGCGAGUAGGGAGAAAAUACAAGAAAGAACAAACCCCUUUGACUAGUUAACCUAUGCAGUGUGCGGUUAAGUGAGGAAUAAAUAGAGCAGGGUUUUAACCAACUUUUGGUUAAUUACCACAUAAAUCUUUCAUACUUAUUGAAUUAUUUAAUAUAGCCCCUCUCAUUUUAAUUUCUAAAUUUUAUUAUGGUGUGUGACCCAUUAAACUUCUAAUUAUGUUGGUAAUAAAUAUAUUCUAUUUCAAUUAAAUUUCUAAUUAUGUUGAAUUAUUAACCCUGAUUAUCUCCCUUCACUAAGGACUUGCAGUUAUACAAGUCAAGAACAAAAAAGAUAUGUUCCCUCAUAUCACUUGAGGUGAUGAGUCUUUUCUGAGCCACUUCAUCACCUUCAUAUGUCAUAUCAUAUCUAAAACAUCCUACUUUAAGCAUCUAUCUAUAACAGGACCAAUUAGCCCGGCCUGCACAAACCAAAAAUAAACUAUUUAACCCAAUGUCUACAAUCCAGUUUUUACAAACCCAAAUAAUAUCAAAACCAGCCCACUAAACCUAAGGCCCAAUAACCCAAAUACCUAAUUCAACGAAACCCUAAAAUCUAGUAGCCUCCAACACAGCAUCCAGCUGCCGCACAACUCUGAACCAGCCCUCCUCCAAGCACGCCACGCCUUGCGCGCCGCACCUCCAUGUUCGUACCUGUAAAAGGACUAGGAGAGUCAAAUAGCAACAAAAACAGUGUAAAAGUAGGGAAAAUAGGAAAUUUCGGGCUAUAAAAAGGGCCCCGAAUUUAUGUAUUUUACACACACGAAUGAAUCAAAAGAAAAUGGGAAAAAAACAAUUCAAAUACCAGUCUUUCUCAAAGGUAGUUUUUUUUUUUAUUUUUUUCGACUUAUUUAUUUAUUUAUUUGUUUUAAAGAAAACGAAAGUAAAAAGGUUAAAAAUCGUACCUUUAUUGCGGAGAGGUGCCGAUUCCGAUGAAAAUCGGUGUUCCAUGGGUCCAGGGGCUGUAAAAACCCAAAAAAUGGUGACUUUUCAUUUUCUGGCCACCGCGGGCCGGCAGCCGCCGCGGUGGUGUGAUGACCGGACAUUGGCCGGAGAGGGGGAGUUGAGAGAGAGUUGAGAGGGGGGUUGAGAGGUUUGAAGGUUUUUUAAAAAACAGAGGCUGAAAUGAAAGUUUAAAAAAUUUUUGGGCUUAAAUACCCAUAUCAAACGGCGCCGUUUUGAGUUUGAAGUUCAAAGGACAAAACGACGCCGUUUUGACCUUUAUUCCCCUCUGACCCGCGCGGUGACCCAACCCGGGAAGGAUCCGCGUGUUUUCUAUUAGUGGGUUAUUUGCGUUUUAAGUCCUUCCCCAUUUUUGAUCUGUUUCAAUUUUGCCUUUUUUGCACUUUUUCUUUUACUUUUAAAUUGGACUUCAAAUUUUUUUUGCUAUGCAAUUUAGUCCCUGGCACGCUAAUCCUCUGGGAAGUGACGCGUGUCCAGGAAUCAGGCUUAUUGCCCAUUUAGCCCUCCUUUCUUCGCGUGUGUUUCAUUUUGAUCUUAUUUCGAUCUUUUAGCAUUAAUUUUAUUUACAAAUCUUACCUUUAAUGUCAUUGUGAUUUCAAUGUAGUCCCCUGGUUAAUUUUUUUAUAUAUUUUAUUAUUCUUAUACCCGUUAUUUAUUUUUAUAUUUAAGCUUUAAUAUUUCCUCUAUUAAUUUAUUUAUUUCUUACUUUUAUAAUUCAUAAAAUUACUUCUACAUACAUAUGAUUUGUUCUAUUAUCACAUUUUAUAUUAUUAUCAUUAUUACUACUAUUAUUAGUAUUAUUAUUAUUUUCAUAUAUCAAUUUACUUAACCUUUUUUAUAUACAUUAUUUUAUCCUAUUAUGUGCUAGUACUUUAAGUUUUUCUACAUUAUUAUUAUAUAUUAUUAUCUAAUCUCAUAAUAUAUUAGGGUAUAUUUUUUAAGAUCCAAUAUGACCUAAAUAUUUUUAAGGGUUUUACUUUAUAAUACAUUUUUUAAAAAUUUAUUUGCAUAUACUUCCAUGCUUUUAAAUCUAUAUGUAAUAUUUUUAUAUUCCACUUAUUUGAUUUUCUUCUUAUGCAACAUUUAAUUUAAAAUCCAUGUGUAUAUUAUUAUAUUUUUUUUAAUUCAAUUUUUGAUAUUUCAAGAUUUCAUGUAUAUUAUUUAUUUUAAUUUUUCUUUUUUACGUAUAAGUUAUUAUUCAUACAUUGUUGAUUUCAAAUGUUCUAUCCUUCAUGCUAUUCUUUUUAUUUUGUUUGGUGUUUCUUUAAUUAAUUUUCAAUUCAUUUAGUUUUCUAAUAUUGAUGUGGGUAUUUGUAUAAUAUGUGAUAUGAAAUUAUGGUACUCAUGUGCCGUGUAUUGUUUACUUGUCCUUAUUGAUUGUUUGUUAUUCACUAACGUAUAUUUUAGCUUACAAACUAUCAUUUCAUGUUAUAUAUCAUUAUCCUAUUGCGUUUUAUUUGUAAAAAAGGGAUUAUGUUUCAUUAAGAAAUUAAAAUCAUUUUAUCUGUAAGUUUUCAAAAUAUUCGGCGUUCAAGAUUCUCGAGGAGAUUGUGUCCUAACUUACUGGGCUUCAAUUUUCUCCGUUGAAUUUAAAUAGCCGAGUACCCUCUUUUCAAUAGAAUCAUAAACAUUUCAGGAUUAAAACUUACUCUCGGGAAUUCAAAGAGUUGUGUCCUAACUCACAGGAUAAGACAUUUUGUUAUCUCGAGACAAGAUUUUUUUUUAAAACAAAAGCAAAUUAGUGUGUGGUCGUUAAAAUUUCAAAGAAUCGACCCCAACUUACGAGGUUUCAAUUUCUUCAUAGAAACAAGAUGACCAAACUUUUUUUUAGUUUUCAAAUUAAUAAAUUUCAAUAAAGAUUUUAAAAGGAGAAUUGUUUUUUAAUCUUUUUCAUUCGACCUUAAGACAUUAAAUAAUUAAUUUGGUACUAAUUUUGCGCGUUACGAGGGUGCUAAUCCUUCCUCGUACGUAACUGACUCCCGAACCCUUUUUUUCUAAAACUCGUAGACCGAAAUCGUUUUUCAAGUGAUCCAAUCACACUUCAACAAAAGAUUGGUGGCUACUCCAAUUUUCAUUUUUAAGUCGACAACUAAUUUUUGUUUUUAAAAAAUGGUUUCGACACGAUCAAUAUGAAUCCAUUUGGUGAUGAAUCAAAGUAUGACGGUCAACAUACAAGGAGAGUCUAUGUGUCAAGUCUAAGGAUUAUUUAUACUACCAAUACAGGGAGUAUUUCUAUAAACACUAAGGUAUUUUUCACCCUUUAACCUUAUAUUAAUAUUUGUUACUUAUAUGAAAAUUUAAGUUUUAAAUAAUUUUUCCGACUAAAUUAAUAUUAAAUUAAUUUGUAACACCAAUUUAAUAAAAUAUAUUAAACAAGCAUAGAUAUAAUUUCAUUAAAAUCUGUCAAUACAAAAAGUACCAUUAAUUUCUCUGAAGUCCCCACUUUUUGGGUCUUAAUGGGUGAGAAAUUUCUUAGAUAGAAACUGAAGACGAUAUUUAAAAGUAAAGGGGACGUUAAAACCCAAGUCUUUGGAAAAUAAAUUGCAUCACGACUGAACCGAAAAUUCCGUUGACUGAUAAUUAGGCACUUAAUGGAAAAGUAAGUCCACAAAAUAAUAGAAAAGGCUUGGGGCCACAAUUAAUCUGUACUCUAAUAUGUCUCGUAUAUAAUACUAUAAGGAUAAUGCUUAUUUACUAUUAUCUUUUCAAAAUAAAUGAAAUAUUUUGUUAUGGGAGUGAUUAAAUUAAAACCAAGGAGGUAUCAUUAUAAAGAAAUAUGGACCAUCAGAAACAAAAAAAGCAAAGAUUCUAUCCUUUUAUUAUAUAUUAUUGAUACUAACAACAUAGAAAUUUCCAUGAGAAAGAAAGCACGACACAUGAAGUAAAUUACAUGACAUCGACUGAAGCAAUGAUAACAACUGUCCCCUACAACAAUUGCAACAAGACCUUGACUCCUAUAAUCACUUUCCUUAAAUUCUUCUCUUUGGAAACUAUAACAUAUAUGCUACUACUGAACCUUUAGCAAACAAUUAAGCUUAGGUAAUUCCACAUGGCCUCAUCCUCAACCUUUUCCAUUAUUUUAGGGAUACUGCAGGCUACAAUCUUUCUAAUUUCCAUUGCCAGAACUGUGACAGUAGCAGAUCCAUCGCCUUUGGCGUCCGAAGCCAUAGCUACGGUAGAAAGUGGGUGGUGGUGCAACUAUAGCAACAAUGCUUCAGAACGUUGCCAGUGGCCAGGUAUAUCAUGCAACACUGCUCGAAGCAUCAUCCAAAUUGACAUUUCUGAUGCGCCCAAUAUUGAGGUUGGAGAUAGAUUUGGGAAAUUGAACUUCUCUUCAUUUCCAAAUCUUGUCCUUCUUGAUCUUAGUGAUCGUCAACUUGGUGGAAAAAUCCCGCAUCAGAUAGGUAAUCUAUCAGCAUUGAAGCACCUUGACUUGUCCCAUUGUGGUUUAUCCGGUGAGUUACCUCCUUCUCUAGGAAACCUAACCCAAUUAGAGUACCUUGACCUUUCCUAUAAUUAUAAUAUUAACGGUUCCAUCCCUCCACAACUAGGGAAUCUAGUGAACCUUGUCAGUUUAAAUUUGAGUUGGACCAGUCUUAGUGGAAACAUUCCACCCUUUCUUGGGCUAUUGGCCAACCUUAGGCAUCUACUUUUGGAUAGGUUUCAAUUUGAUGAUGGUAAUAAUACAAUCCCUCAAAAUUUGUGGAAUUUGAGGGGUCUUGAGACUUUAAGCCUAAGUCGUUGUGGAAUUGUUGGUCCAAUCCCUUCUGCUUUGGGUCAGUUAUUAAAUCUCAAAUAUUUACGUCUAGGGGGAAACAAAAUUAAUGGAUCUAUCCCAUUUGAAGUCGGAUUUCUAUCAAACUUGACAUAUUUGUAUCUCUACAACAACAAACUGGUUGGUUCAAUCCCUUCUGCUUUGGGUCAGUUAUUAAAUCUCAAAUCUUUAUUUCUUUCGGGCAACAAAAUGAAUGGAUCUAUUCCAUCUGAAGUUGGAUUCUUAUCUAACUUAACUUAUUUUUAUGCCUCCAACAACAGACUGGUUGGUUUAAUACCUUUCUCCUUGUACCAAUUAACCAAUUUGGAAAAUUUGUCCCUUGAUAAUAACCAGCUUGAAGGUUCCAUCCCUCAGAAUAUUGAAAAGUUGAUGAACAUCAAGGUUUUAAGCAUCACUAAUAAUAGUUUUACUGGUCAUAUCCCCCUAGCUUUGUGUCGUUUGACAAAUUUGGAAUAUAUUGGCCUUGGCAACAAUCAAAUCAGUGGUUCAAUCCCAUCUUGUAUUGGCAAUUUAUCCAAUUUGUAUACCUUAGAACUUGAUUCAAAUCUAUUAAAAGGUCCUAUCCCUGAAGAAAUUGGUAGGCUUUUUCACCUAUCAAAUUUAAACCUCAGCUUCAACCAACUCUCAGGUAGUGUCCCUAUCUUGUCUGCCACUAAGCUUCGUAUUAUCGAUGCUGGAAAUAACUGUAACAAGAUUUCUCCCGAUCCAUUUGAAGGCAACAGUCAUCUAUCACCCUAUAUGUGUCCUUCUCCAGUAACCAACAAAGCCAACAGCAGUACAAUUCUUUACUAUAUCAACAUAUUCCUCCCUAUUGCCAUCUUCUUCACAUUCUCCAUUUUGGGAUAUUUUCUAUUUUCACGAUUUAAGCUCAAGAAUAACCGUGUCGGUGUACAACCGACGAAGAAUGGGGAUUUGUGUUCCAUAUGGAACUAUGAUGGAAAGAUAGCAUACGAGGAUAUUGUUGCAGCAACAGAGGAUUUCGACUUUCGAUACUGUAUAGGAGUUGGUGGUUAUGGAAGUGUUUACAGAGCACAACUACCUUGUGGUAAAGUAGUUGCCUUGAAGAAACUUCAUCGUUUAGAAGAUGAAAAUCCAGCCUUUGACAAGAGCUUCAGGAAUGAGAUCAAGUUUCUAACAGAAAUACGACAUCGAAGCAUCGUAAAGCUUCAUGGGUUUUGUCUACACCGACGGUCCAUGUUUUUGAUCUACGAGUACAUGGAAAAAGGGAGUUUGUUCUGCAACCUAAGAGAUGAAGUGGAAGCUGUGGAAAUGGAUUGGACAAAAAGAGUGGAGAUCAUCAAGGGCAUAGCGCAUGCUUUGUCUUACUUGCACUAUGAUUGCAGCCCUCCAAUAGUUCAUCGAGACAUAUCAAGUAACAAUGUUCUUUUAAACUCGAGCUUUGAGGCCUUUGUAGCUGACUUUGGGACUGCUAAAAUGUUGGAUCUUGAAUCAUCCAAUCAGACCAUUAUUGUGGGCACAUGUGGUUAUGUAGCUCCAGGUGGUUUUCUUUGCUUCGUUUGAUGACAUUUUCUUCGGAAUUUAUAAAAUUAAUUGAACAUAUAAAUGAUUUUCUUUUUUAUCUGGUUUUUGGUAUGCAGAACUUGCAUAUACGUUGGUUGUCACCGAAAAAUGUGAUGUCUAUAUUUUUGGAGUGGUAGCACUGGAAACGUUAAUGGGAAAGCAUCCCGAAGAAUUGUUAUCAUGGUUGUCAUCACCAACUUCUUUGGUAAAUAUGAGGCUGAUUGAUGUGCUAGACAACCGUUUACCACUUCCGACAAGUCAAUUAGUUGCACAAAAUCUUGUUCGCAUUGCUACUUUGGCAUUCGCCUGCCUAAAUCCGCAACCUAAGUCUCGACCAACGAUGAAAAAAGUGUGCGAAGAGUUUCUUUGUGGUCAAACAUCCUUGGGAGUUCCCCUUCGGAUGAUCUCUUUGUUACAACUUGUGAACUGUGAAAUGCAUAUUGGAGGCAAAACUGGAACUUGUAAUGUUUAAACUCCAUGUGGCUGUUCUUGAUUAGAUAUUGUUUAUCAUGCUUUGAUGAUUUGUUUGUAAACCAUAUCCUGUGUUAUAUAUGGUGGAAUGAAUUGCAAUGUUCAAUAAAUUUGUUUAUUUGAUUGUUUUACAUAACAUAAAUUCGACAAUUUGAUCCAAAUAUUCAAACACCAUCCUAAUAGCUUCCUUCAAUUUCGUGCUUCUUAGAUAAAUAAAAUAUAAGUAAAUUAAUGGUGAAUUAAAGCAACAAAAUGCAACCAAUACAUUAAGAAUUUACCUGAACUAACUAUAAUUCAUUAAACAAUCUCUCCACUUAUGUAAUGGAAGUGAGAUUUCACAGAUCUGGGCUAGGUAACAUCCAAACUUAAAAAGCAACCAAAGGGGUCAAAAUGGAGCCAGCACAAAUUCCAACAUUUGUUUUUUUCCAUAUCAAGCACAUUAAGAUUUAUUGCUUGGUAGAGUUAAAAAUUGAAAUGAAAGAAAAUAAACAUUUAAAAAUGCAUAAUUUUGAACUAAUAUACACCUCUCUCUCAUUUUCUUUCUUUUCAUCAUUCUAAUUUGGAAGUAUCGGUUUUUAUACAUUACGAUGGAAAAUGAUUCUUUCCUCUCACUUUUCUUCCAUAUCAAGCACAUUCAAAUUAAAAUAUUUAUUUAAUUUUUAUACAUCGUAAAAUGUACCAAUAGAAUUAGAACAUUAAUACACAUAUCAAUUUUAAAAAAAAGAUUAAUUUUUAAUAUUUUUAAGCUUCGUAUAAUUUAGAAAAAAAUUGUCUUGAAUGAAUCUAGACAUAGACUUAACUUGUAAAUGGUUUUUAUUAAUUUUUAAUUUUUUGAACUUUAUUUAAUAUUUUUAUAAUUUUGAAUAUUUUUUUACAAAUUUAUAAAAUUUUAAAAAAUAAAUUUUUUUAAAUAUUUUUUUAAUUUAAAAAAAUUUUAAGCUUCGAAACGAAUGAACUUGGUACUGCAACAUCAGCAACUAUUCCUUUUAAAAAUUAAAUAUUCCUUUUAAUUUUUAUUUUUUAAAAUAAAUUUUUUUAUUUUUGUUGACAUGGUAGUUGAAAUGGUAAUGGCACAUCAACAACUAUCACUGACAUGAAGCAUCAUGUUAGCGUCGUUAAUGAUUAUGUCAACAUUGCAAUGGUCAACAUUAUUCAAAGGGUCUAUUUGGUCAAUUUUGUUAGUUUAGUGGCUCAAUUGGGUGCAAAAAGUUCGUAGAGAUUUAAUUAAUUUUUUUGAAAAAGUUCGAGGACCAAAAAUAGCAUUAAACCCUUCUUUAACUAUUGAUAUAUCCUUUUUUAUGUAUAGGUCAACGGCCUAUUUGACCAAUUUCCUUUAUUUUAGGGAUACUGCAAACUACCAUCUUUCUAAUUUCCAUUGCCAGAACUAUGACAGUAGUAGAUCCAUCGCCUUUGGCGUCCGAAGCCAUAGCUAUGGUAGAAAGUGGGUGGUGGAGUAACUAUAGCAACAAUGCUUCAGAACGUUGCCAGUGGCCAGGUAUAUCAUGCAACACUGCUCGAAGCAUCAUCCAAAUUAACUUAUCUUAUGCAUUCCUUAUCGAGGUUGGAGAUAGAUUUGGGAAAUUGAAUUUCUCUUCGUUUCCAAAUCUUGUCCUUCUUGAUCUUAGUCAUCGUCAACUUAGUGGAAAAAUCCUGUAUCAGAGAGGUUAUCUAUCAGCAUUGAAGCACCUUGACCUUUCCUUUUGUGGUUUUUCCGGUGAGUUACCUCCUCCUCUAGGAAACCUAACCCAAUUAGAAUUCCUUGACAUUUCCUAUAAUUAUAACAUUAACGGCUCCAUCCCUCCACAACUAGUGAAUCUAGUGAACCUUGUCAGUUUAAAUUUGAGUAGAACCGGUCUUAGUGGAAACAUUCCACCGUUCCUUGGGCUUUUGACCGACCUUAGGCAUCUACUUUUGGAUAGGUAUCAGUUUGAUGAUGGUAAGAAUACAAUCCCCCAAAAUUUGUGGAAUUUGAGGGGUCUUGAGACUUUGAGCCUAAAUGGUUGUGGAAUUGUGGGUCCAAUCCCUUCUGCUUUGGGUCAGUUAAUAAAUCUCAAAUAUUUGGGUCUAUUGGAAAACAAAAUUAAUGGAUCUAUUCCAUCUGAAGUUGGAUUCUUAUCAAACUGAUUUUUGAUCUCUUCGACAACAGACUGGUUGGUUCAAUACCUUUUUCCUUGUACCCAUUAACUAAUAUGGAAAUUUUGUCCCUUGGUAAUAACCAGCUUGAAGGUUCCAUCCCUUGGAAUAUUGAAAAUUCGAAGAACAUCAAGAUUUUAAGCAUCAUUAAUAAUAGUUUUUCUGGUCGUAUCCCCCCAGCUUUGUGUCGUUUGACAAAUUUGGAAUAUAUUGACCUUGGCAAAAAUCAAAUCAGUGGUUUAAUCCCAUCUUGUUUUGGCAAUUUAUCCAAUUCGGAUACCUUAGAACUUGAUUCAAAUCUAUUAAAAGGUCCUAUCCCUGAAGAAAUUGGUAGGCUUUUUCACCUAUCAAGUUUAAACCUCAGCUUCAAGCAACUCUCAGGUAGUGUCCGUAUCUUGUUUGCCACUAAGCUUCGAAUUAUCAUGCUGGAAUUAACUGUAACAAGAUUUCUACCGAUCCAUUUGAAGGCAAUAGUCAUCUAUCACCCUAUAUGUGUCCUUCUCCAGUAACCAACAAAGCCAACAGCAGUACAAUUCUUUACUAUAUCAACAUAUUCCUCCCUAUUGCCAUCUUCUUCACAUUCUCCAUUUUGGGAUAUUUUCUAUUUUCACGAUUUAACCUCAAGAAUAACCGUGUCGGUGUACAACCGACGAAGAAUGGGGAUUUGUGUUCCAUAUGGAACUACGAUGGAAAGAUAGCAUACGAGGAUAUUGUUGCAGCAACAGAGGAUUUCGACUUUCGAUACUGUAUAGGAGUUGGUGGUGAUGGAAGUGUUUACAGAGCACAACUACCUUGUGGUAAAGUAGUUGCCUUGAAGAAACUUCAUCGUUUAGAAGCUGAAAAUCCAGCCUUUGACAAGAGCUUCAGGAAUGAGAUCAAGUUUCUAACAGAAAUACGACAUCGAAGCAUCGUAAAGCUUCAUGGGUUUUGUCUACACCGACGGUCCAUGUUUUUGAUCUAUGAGUACAUGGAAAGAGGGAGUUUGUUCUGCAACCUAAGAGAUGAAGUGGAAGCUAUGGAAAUGGAUUGGACAAAAAGAGUGGAGAUCAUCAAGGGCAUAGCGCAUGCUUUGUCUUACUUGCACUAUGAUUGCAGCCCUCCAAUAGUUCAUCGAGACAUAUCAAGUAACAAUGUUCUUUUAAACUCGAGCUUUGAG
rnacentral:lncRNA from 1 species